UACGUAGGGCGCAAGCGUUGUCCGGAAUUAUUGGGCGUAAAGCGUGCGUAGGCGGUUGCGCAAGACAGGUGUGAAAUCCCCGGGCUUAACCUGGGAAUUGCACUUGUGACUGUGCGGCUGGAGUGCGGCAGAGGGGGAUGGAAUUCCGCGUGUAGCAGUGAAAUGCGUAGAUAUGCGGAGGAACACCGAUGGCGAAGGCAGUCCCCUGGGCCUGCACUGACGCUCAUGCACGAAAGCGUGGGGAGCAAACAGG
rnacentral:rRNA from 1 species